AGUACUCGACGUGGAGUUUCCAAUUCUCAAAGUGGAGCCGGUUAGUAUUGACUUCGGGUUUGUCACCGACGGCGAUACCAGGAAGACUUACUUCACUGUCGCACACACUUGCCGAGAUCAAAAACUAGACUUAACUAUCCAAUGGGUGGGUAGUAAAGGAUUUGAAGUGUGGCCACUACAGUGUACCGUCUCGCCCUCCGACUCUCAACGUAUUUACGUUCAAUAUACAGCUAAAUGGUCGGGAGGACUAGCGGAGGGUUGCGUGUCGGUGAGUG